UACGGGGGGGGCAAGCGUUGUUCGGAAUUACUGGGCGUAAAGGGCUCGUAGGCGGCCAACUAAGUCAGACGUGAAAUCCCCAGGCUCAACCUGGGAACUGCGUCUGAUACUGGAUGGCUUGAAUCCGGGAGAGGGAUGCAGAAUUCCAGGUGUAGCGGUGAAAUGCGUAGAUAUCGGGAGGAACACCAGUGGCGAAGGCGGCUUCCUGGACCUGAUCUGACACUGAGGAGCGAAAGCGUGGGGAGCGAUCCGG
rnacentral:rRNA from 1 species